rnacentral:rRNA from 1 species
UUGGUUAGUCCGCAACGAGCGCAACCCCUACUUGUUAGUUGCCAUCAUUCAGUUGGGCACUCUAGCGAGACUGCCGGUAAUAAACCGGAGGAAGGUGGGGAUGACGUCAAAUCAUCAUGCCCUUAUGACCUGGGCUACACACGUGCUACAAUGGUUGGUACAACGAGUUGCGAGUCGGUGACGGCGAGCUAAUCUCUUAAAGCCAAUCUCAGUUCGGAUUGUAGGCUGCAACUCGCCUACAUGAAGUCGGAAUCGCUAGUAAUCGCGGAUCAGCACGCCGCGGUGAAUACGUUCCCGGGCCUU